rnacentral:lncRNA from 1 species
UCUUUUUGCCUUUUUUUGUUCUUUUUUUUUUUGAACAAAUUUACAAAAUUCAGUUAAGCUCCCUCAUUAACCAUACAUAAUAGGUUGCAAAACUUCUCUUCCUGUAUAAAAGAAGAAGCUAUAUAGUGAUAAUCCAGUGCUCCACCAUCGUGGCUGUUGAAUUCUGUUUAACUUUCAUUAAGCAAGUGCAUUCAUUGACAUGAAAUUCGAACUCCAAUUUAACUU